CCAUUUGACCAUCUCCCCCAAAUUUUAUAAUUUCCCUCACAUUCUCAUAUUUCCCUCUCCUAUCAAUUUCCACCAGCGCACCACUUGUGAAUCGUGGCUGAGUGACCGACGAACCAUCAUCGCCGCCAGUUGUCGCUCCGCACUUCAACGCUUCAAUCCUCACUUUAGCCCUGGGGCGCAGGGAAGAUAUGUGUUUGAGGGUGUAUAUCAUGUCAGGAGGAUUUCAAAUGGUUUCAACAAUCAAGUUAUCAUGGGAUUCAAAUGGUAUUUAUUAUAGAUAAUUGAGAUCUUCUGACAUCACUAGGAGGACAAAUGGUAUUUCGAGAUCUUACGACCUCAGAAAAAACAAUAUGGAAUUUUAAGGUAUCUAGAGAUCUUGAGUUGGAAGUAAUAAGAGGUUAUGGCUGAGAAUUAUCAUAUAUGAAAUAUACAGAGCUCAAGAUGAACAAACACAUCUAUUACAACUUUAGGUUUAUCAUUCUGGAAAAUUAUAUUAGUGUGUUUAUUUGCCCUAGCUAUUGAGUUAAUUUGUCAAAUUUUAGUUAUGUUUUGAUUAAGUUUUGGAUUAUUGCUUUUAUUUUUACAUAUGGUUAACUAAGCUUACUUGUUUAUGUUCUAUGUGCUUAACUAUAUAAACCAUCUUGUAGCCAUAAACUCGAACUUCUGCAAGACUUAUGAACUUUAUUUUGACCAAUGUUUUCAUUUAUGUGCAACUGAGGUUUAUGCCCAGGAAAUCAAACUUGAGCCAUGCGUGAUGUGUGAACACCUUGACAAAGAACCUCACUUUAAUCUAGACAGAUCAAAGAUGGAGACAUUAUUUGCUUACAGGAACUUCCUAAAGCUGAUGAAAAAUACUGAAAUACUGAUGUUGCCUCAUUUCUAUGAUAUGUGAAAAAUCGUCAGGUUCAGGUUCAUGAUAUUCUUUAUUAUGAAGUGUUAAGACAUCCCUCUGUUUGAAUUAUAAUGUCAGAAAACUUUGAAAGUUGCUUUCCACCAUGUAAACAAGAGGUUACCAAAGCAGAGCACUGUUGGAGAUGCUCUAAAUGAAAUAAAGACAAAGGUUAAAUUAUCUCAUCUAAGUGAUGAACUUAGACCAAUUGCAGUAUUUUCUCAUAAGAUCUACAAGGUCUUAUUGAGAAGAUAAAUAAUCAAAACUGGACAUUACGAGCUGAGGAAGUAAGUUGGCCUCUACUAAGGAGAUUGAGAAUAUAAACUUGUAUUUACAUUUUUUAAAGUUAAGAAAAUAUAUUUAGAACAAUAUUGAAGUGUAGAAGAAAAGAACUCGAGCCCCAAGAUCCUUGAUUCAUGCAUUAUCAUUUCACGAAAGUGGUUGAAAAACGAUACUGAAAGCUAACGACUGACUUUAGAAGCUAUGAUGUGGAAGGUUAUGAAACAACUAUCAGAUAUUGAAGAUUGGUAAAAGUAAAAUGCUUUCGUGUCUCUUUAUUUAGUUAUUGUAAGUUACACUUUGUGGUGACUAUAUUGUUAUUUGAAUUUGGACAAGUGUAUUGAAGUCAACAUAUGACUAUUAAUGGUAUAUGUGGUUAUUAUUGUUUUGGUGUAAUUCAAUUAUUUAUGUUA